AGUGAACGCUGGCGGCGUGCUUAACACAUGCGAGUCGAACGAGAACGGAAUAUAGCUUGCUAUAUUUGUCAGCUAAGUGGCGCACGGGUGAGUAAUGUAUAGAUAACCUGCCCUUAAGAAAGGAAUAACAGUUGGAAACGACUGCUAAUGCCCUAUAUGCCUUUAAUACAUAAGUAUGCAAGGGAAACGCUUUAGUGCUUAAGGAUGGGUCUGUAUGGUAUCAGCUUGUUGGUGAGGUAAUGGCUCACCAAGGCUAUGACGCCUAACUGGUUUGAGAGGAUGAUCAGUCACACUGGAACUGAGACACGGUCCAGACUCAUACGGGAGGCAGCAGUGGGGAAUAUUGCAAAAUGGACGAAAGUCUGAUGCGGCAACGCCGCGUGGAGGAUGACACAUUUCGGUGCGUAAACUCCUUUUAUAUAGGAAGAUAAUGACGGUACUAUAUGAAUAAGCACCGGCUAACUCCGUGCCAGCAGCCGCCGUAA
rnacentral:rRNA from 1 species